rnacentral:lncRNA from 1 species
GGGGAAUAAUGUUUAAUUGGCUCUCCAGAGUCUACUAAUUUUCAGAAUUGGAAACCUAGUGUUUGAUUUGUUCUUUUUAGUCAGUGAGAAGAAAAAACAUCCUUCAUAAAUUCUGAAUGACAAAUUUGCCCAUCCUUUUUUGCAUGUGGUUCCAGCAUCCCAGGGAAUCUAAAGUGUCAUUUCCUCUUUGGAAGAAAGGGAGCACAAAACAUACUAGGUGGAGAAGGACACUGCAGAAAGCGCUGAACAGCUGCCACCAGGCAACAGAAGAUAAUGAUGGCUAUGCUUUGCACAUAGACUCAUCUUUUGAAACACACAAGUGUAAAGAUUCAGUAACAGGUUCAUCACCUCUUGCCUGACAAUUUUUCCCAAUUGUUUCUCUCACAUUUCCAAUCAAUCCUCCACACAGUUGCCAACAUAAUCUUUGGAAAAUAAAGGUCUUCUGGAAUUAUUCCA